CUGGUCUGAGAGGAUGGACAGCCACAUUGGGACUGAGACACGGCCCAAACUCCUACGGGAGGCAGCAGUGGGGAAUUUUCCGCAAUGGGCGAAAGCCUGACGGAGCGACGCUGCGUGAAGGAUGACGGCCUGAGGGUUGUAAACUUCUUUUCUCGAAGAAGAAUCAAUGACGGUAUUCGAGGAAUAAGCAUCGGCUAACUCUGUGCCAGCAGCCGCGGUAAGACAGAGGAUGCAAGUGUUAUUCGGAUUGAUUGGGCGUAAAGCGUCUGUAGGCGGUUUAGAAAGUCUUUUGUGAAAUACUUCAGCUCAACUGGGGCUCCGCAAAAGAAACUUCUAGACUUGAGGGAAGUAGAGGUACAGGGAAUUUCCGGUGGAGCGGUGAAAUGCGUAGAUAUCGGAAGGAACACCAAUAUGGCGAAGGCACUGUACUGGGCUUUACCUGACGCUAAGAGACGAAAGCUAAAGGAGUGAUUAGGAUUAGAUACCCUAGUAAUUUUAGCCGUAAACGAUGGAAACUCACUGCCGAGCCGGUAUUCGGAGCGGUGGUCAAGCUAACGCGUGAAGUUUCCCGCCUGGGGAUUACGCAUGCAAAUGUGAAACUCAAAGGAAUUGACGGGGACCCGCACAAGCGGUGGAGUAUGUGGUUUAAUUCGAUGCAACGCGAAAAACCUUACCAAGGUUUGAAAUCAUUCUAAAACUCUUUGAAAGAAGAGCCUCCUUCGGGAUAGAAUGACAGGUGGUGCAUGGCUGUCGUCAGCUCGUGUUGUGAAAUGUCAAGUUAAGUCUUGUAACGAGCGCAACCCAUGUCUUUUGUUGCUGUUUACAGUGCUUAAAAGAGACUGCCGCUCUACAGCGGAGGAAGGUGUGGAUGAUGUCAAGUCAGCAUGCCCCUUAUAUCUUGGGCUACACACGUACUACAAUGGUAGGGACAAUGAGUCGCAAACCUGCGAAGGCUAGCCAAUCUCAAAAACCCUAUCUCAGUUCAGAUUGUAC
rnacentral:rRNA from 1 species